AGCAGCCGCGGUAAUUCCAGCUCCAAUAGCGUAUAUUAAAGUUGUUGCAGUUAAAAAGCUUGUAGUUGAAUUUCGGGAUCAAUUAAUCGGUCGUACCUAUGGUACGUACUGAUUUUAUUGGUUUCUCCCUUCUGACGAACCAUGAUGUCAUUAAUUUGGUGUCGUGGAGAAUCAGGACUGUUACUUUGAAAAAAUUAGAGUGUUUAAAGCUGAAUACAUUAGCAUGGAAUAAUGAAAUAGGGCGUUUGAUCCUAUUUUGUUGGUUUCUAGGAUCGACGUAAUGAUUAAUAGGGAUAGUUGGGGGCAUUAGUAUUCAAUUGUCAGAGGUGAAAUUCUUGGAUUUAUUGAAGACUAACUACAGCGAAAGCAUUUGCCAAGGAU
rnacentral:rRNA from 1 species